rnacentral:lncRNA from 1 species
UCAUUCCCAAUCUUAUCCUUUCUCGUGUGCCCACACAUCCCACGAAGCAUCCUCAUCUCCGCUACACCCAUUUUAUGUACGUGUUGAUGCUUCACCGCCCAACAUUCUGUGCCAUACAACAUCGCUGGCCUUAUUGUCGUCCUAUAAAAUUUUUCCUUGAGCUUCAGUGGCCUACGACAGUCACACAACACGCCGGAUGCACUCUUACACUUCAUCCAUCCAGCUCGUAUUCUAUGGUUGAGAUCUCCAUCUAAUUCUCCGUUCUCUUGCAAGAUAGAUCCUAGGUAGCGAAAACGGUCGCUUUUUGUGAUCUUCGCUAGAUUGCUCCGGUCAUUAGUGUGGAUAAG